GGCAAACCUGAUAGGUUCGGCGCACCGUUCGGUGAUGGGAAAUCGGUGCAAGGCCGAUGCUGCCCCCGCAACUGUAUCGGGUUGGGAGAUCCGGGUCGGCGCUAUGGCGCCAGACCAGCCACCGGGCAACCGGGAAGGCGGAUCGCUUUCAUGCCCGCAGCCAGGAAACCUGCCGAAGGUAUCACUAUUCU
rnacentral:ncRNA from 2 species